rnacentral:lncRNA from 1 species
CUGACCUACACACGACAGCAUACUCCGUCAGCUCAGCAUUCGAUUAAAGAAACGCCCCCAAUCCUCCCGUGCGGGUUAAAGGGCGACGGAGUAGGGCAUGGCAAUGGCGCCGCACCCAGCUGAUGAUAGGAAGGAGGAGCAGGGUGGCGAGGAGGGGGAUCAGAGGAGGCGCGGGGGCAGGGCAACGGCGGUUCCAAAAAAAA